rnacentral:rRNA from 1 species
UACGGGAGGCAGCAGUGAGGAAUAUUGCGCAAUGGGGGCAACCCUGACGCAGCGACGCCGCGUGGAUGAUGAAGGCCUUCGGGUUGUAAAAUCCUGUCAGAUGGGAAGAAGUGCCAGUUAUCUAAUAGGUGAUUGGUUUGACGGUACCAUCAAAGGAAGCACCGGCUAACUCCGUGCCAGCGACCGCGGUAAU